GACGAACGCUGGCGGCACGCCUAACACAUGCAAGUCGAACGGAGAAAAUGAUUUCGGUUGUUUUCUUAGUGGCGGACGGGUGAGUAACACGUGAGGAACCUGCCUUUGAGGGUGGGAUAGCUUCUGGAAACGGAUGGUAAUACCGCAUAACAUAGCGAACCCGCAUGAUUUUGCUAUCAAAGUAUUUCGGCCAGAGAUGGCCUCGCGUCUGAUUAGAUAGUUGGUGAGGUAACGGCUCACCAAGUCGACGAUCAGUAGCCGGACUGAGAGGUUGAUCGGCCACAUUGGGACUGAGACACGGCCCAGACUCCUACGGGAGGCAGCAGUGGGGGAUAUUGCACAAUGGGGGAAACCCUGAUGCAGCGAUGCCGCGUGGAGGAAGAAGGUUUUCGGAUUGUAAACUCCUGUCGUAAGGGAAGAGAAAGGACUGUACCUUACAAGAAAGCUCCGGCUAACUACGUGCCAGCAGCCGCCGUAACAC
rnacentral:rRNA from 1 species